GACGAACUUUGGCGGCGUGCUUAACACAUGCAAGUCGAACGGAAAGGCCCUGCUUUUGUGGGGUGCUCGAGUGGCGAACGGGUGAGUAACACGUGAGUAACCUGCCCUUGACUUUGGGAUAACUUCAGGAAACUGGGGCUAAUACCGGAUAGGAGCUCCUGCUGCAUGGUGGGGGUUGGAAAGUUUCGGCGGUUGGGGAUGGACUCGCGGCUUAUCAGCUUGUUGGUGGGGUAGUGGCUUACCAAGGCUUUGACGGGUAGCCGGCCUGAGAGGGUGACCGGCCACAUUGGGACUGAGAUACGGCCCAGACUCCUACGGGAGGCAGCAGUGGGGAAUAUUGCACAAUGGGCGGAAGCCUGAUGCAGCAACGCCGCGUGCGGGAUGACGGCCCUCGGGUUGUAAACCGCUUUCGCCUGUGACGAAGCGUGAGUGACGGUAAUGGGUAAAGAAGCACCGGCUAACUACGUGCCAGCAGCCGCGGUGAUACGUAGGGUGCGAGCGUUGUCCGGAUUUAUUGGGCGUAAAGGGCUCGUAGGUGGUUGAUCGCGUCGGAAGUGUAAUCUUGGGGCUUAACCCUGAGCGUGCUUUCGAUACGGGUUGACUUGAGGAAGGUAGGGGAGAAUGGAAUUCCUGGUGGAGCGGUGGAAUGCGCAGAUAUCAGGAGGAACACCAGUGGCGAAGGCGGUUCUCUGGGCCUUUCCUGACGCUGAGGAGCGAAAGCGUGGGGAGCGAACAGGCUUAGAUACCCUGGUAGUCCACGCUGUAAACGGUGGGUACUAGGUGUGGGGUCCAUUCCACGGGUUCCGUGCCGUAGCUAACGCUUUAAGUACCCCGCCUGGGGAGUACGGCCGCAAGGCUAAAACUCAAAGGAAUUGACGGGGCCCCGCACAAGCGGCGGAGCAUGCGGAUUAAUUCGAUGCAACGCGUAGAACCUUACCUGGGUUUGACAUGGAUCGGGAGUGCUCAGAGAUGGGUGUGCCUCUUUUGGGGUCGGUUCACAGGUGGUGCAUGGCUGUCGUCAGCUCGUGUCGUGAGAUGUUGGGUUAAGUCCCGCAACGAGCGCAACCCUUGUUCACUGUUGCCAGCACGUUAUGGUGGGGACUCAGUGGAGACCGCCGGGGUCAACUCGGAGGAAGGUGGGGAUGACGUCAAGUCAUCAUGCCCCUUAUGUCCAGGGCUUCACGCAUGCUACAAUGGCUGGUACAGAGAGUGGCGAGCCUGUGAGGGUGAGCGAAUCUCGGAAAGCCGGUCUCAGUUCGGAUUGGGGUCUGCAACUCGACCUCAUGAAGUCGGAGUCGCUAGUAAUCGCAGAUCAGCAACGCUGCGGUGAAUACGUUCCCGGGGCU
rnacentral:rRNA from 1 species